ensembl:snRNA U2 U2 spliceosomal RNA
AUUGCUUCUCAGCCUUUGGGCUAAGAUUAAGUGUAGUAUUUGUUCUUAUCAGAAUCUCCCACUCUAAUAAACUUUAUUUCCCUCUCAUUCUGCCUCAUGUCUAGAAGUUCUU